UCUGUUCCAAAGUUGAGAGGCCAAGAAGUUGCCUUCUUGUAGGCAGAGUCAUGAAUGAAUUGAAGACACAGCAGGCUAGAAGAUGGAACUUGGAAGAGAGCUAACCAAUAGAAAUGGUCCUCAAAGAGAUGGUCAGAAUCCCUUGUUCCCAAACAAAGGGAAGACAGUUUUUGGCUGGAUGAAGUUUUACUGGAUCAGAUGAUCAAGAGAGAAGAUUGAUAAAGAGUGACAUGAAGGAAUGGAUGAAGAAGAGGGAAAGAAUUAAUCAACACAAAUAAUGAAAGGUAGAUAAUAACGAAGAGAUAACACUGAGUUCUCAGACAAGAAGCAGGGCAUCACAGACAGGCAACCUGUGAUUUAUGAUAAGCUAUGACCUCAUUUGUUAUCUUAGUUUUUAAGAAAUCUUUCUUUUAACUUCAUCAUUUCCUCCCUUCAGCUCAGUGACUCUGUGAAAUGCAAGGUGACCUCAGUGUUGGAAGAAAGAACAUUUUAUCAAGGGAAGAUGCUAUUCUCAAGGCACAGUGCUUAUGGCCAAGUUCUCUCUAGCCUGGAAUCUGUCUGCAGCAACUGUAAAGUAAAGUAGAUGUCACUUUCUACCUGACAGUUCCUGCUCCCCGGGGCCAUUGUCUGUUGCAGAACUGCAGUAGGGAUCCACUGCGGAGGAGGAGGAAGUGUUUAGUUACUGGGUCUGAAGCCACUGUCACUACUCACAGCCUCUUGCUGGUGUGUCCACUUCCUUCCCAGCUGCCUUUCUGUAUCUUACCUCUUCACCGUGCAAUGUUUGCCAGAACCCAGAAUGGUAAAGCAUCUCACAUGCCUACUUGAGCAGCCUUCAUAAAUAAUGACCAUGGUGAUGGAAAUCCCAGCUAUGAAAGUGACUUUUAGGGAGUAGCUGCUUAGUUCUAUUUCUGAGCAAUUUUUAAAAUGGUAUUUGUUCAUCACAUUUUAGCAUACCAUUAUCCAAAGCAGCAUCAUUUAAAUUGUGUAACUGAAGCCCUAUUGAAAGGCUCAUACACUACAAAAUCCACAAAGGAUGAAACAAGCACUCAGACUACUCAGACCUUGAGGCGUGAGAGCACUGGGAAAAUAUUAUCCUAAGAAGACACAUCGGCUUUGCACAGUACCUUCACUUGGAAACCUGUAGUCACCUGACACUAUGUUGUUGAAGCUAGUCAAGGAAAUGGAAACAGUACCUUCAAAAGCCCUCUCAGAGUCUUUCAUGAAAAUUCUUCUAGUCUCAGGGAAAAACUGAUUCUACCUUUACCAGGAAAGGUUAUCUGGGAUUCUGACGAAGCUAACUCUCACCUGACAUUGUCAAGAGCACACUCCUGCUAUGAUUUAUACCCAGCAUUUGUCAAUAGGUGAGAUUUCUCAGGACUUCUUCUGAUUUUGGCUUUACAUGUGUGCUUUUACAAUGGCAGAUGUUCUAUGAAAUGGUGGGUCUCUUUUCUAGCUUUCUUUAUGAUACAACCCUUUUCUUGUUGGGAGGGAGACAGAAGACAUUCAACAGAAGACAGCAAAGAUUUUCAGUUGCCCUGGGAAGUGACAGAGCAUCUCCCACACCAGUGUUUCACUCUAAGUAGCAACACUUCAUGAUUUUCCAGAUUCCGAAUCCACAGGCACCACCUGCAGGUGUUUACAGGACCCCAUGAGUCACACCCCGGGAGAGCCCAGUGGAUGAUGCCCACCUGUGUUCUCUUCUGAUGCCUGCCUCUAUCGUAGGGCAUAAAGACUCCGAGUUAAAAAUAAAAGAAAGAAAGCAAAACAAAUGGAUACAUGAAUUCCAGCAUCCAGCCAGAAGUCCAGAGGCCACAGUGAACAGAGAAGGGCACAGAGCUACAUGCCUCGCCUCGUGUGUGGAUUAGAUGGGGAUUCUGUCCCUCGGGGAUCUGAUAUCUUCCACUGUGUCAUGCUUAAUGAUGUUAUUGUAUUCAAUAUCCAAGUUUUCUUUCAACUUGUUGAGCUCGAACUCAUGAAUAAUUUUGACAGUCAUUAACUUUUCUCGUUUGAUUUUCUCUAGGACAUCUUUUGGAACAUCCGGUAUCAUCCAGGCCAAUAAAAAUUUUAACAGAAACACGACGUGCUAGGAGUGAUAAAAGAAGAUCAUAGAUACUGUUAGGAUUAUCAAGAAUUUAGAAAGGAGUCCUUAAUGGUCCCCCUGAGAAUCUGAUAAACUCUAUUGGACACAGGAAGCACAAAGUUGAAUCAUAUAUACACAUACAGGUGUAUGUGUGCAUGUGUGUAUCCUGUAGUUUCCACACACACAAUGGAAUUAAAUAACUAUAUUUAAAUAAGCAACUAGAGAAAUGGGACAUGGGUAUAAAAAAGCUUGCUCUUUAUUGGAACCC